ACCAACAGCUUCAAGGAUUAUCAUGGGAGGAAAGCAAUGAAGUCUCCAGAUUCCAGUAUCAUGCAAUUAAUCUCCAGUCUAUGCUUUAGAGUGAUACUAAGCUGAUAUGAUGCAGUGAAGGGAAAUAAUAAAAACCAGGUGAUAUGUUGCUGCCAUCUUAACAAUGGUCGAUUAUGUUGGAUUUCUGAUCCCCAAGAGAAACCAUAGCCAUGUCAGAUGAUUUAAAAUGCUAGGACACAUUUUCAAAACAUGCAUCUCUACUGGUGUUCUCCAACCCUCCUUCAUCGGAUUACUUCUGAGUGAAAGUCUGGGAGCUGCAGUCCAACUACAUCUAGAGGAGCAUAGAUUGAGAGAAACUAUUGAGACCAAAUCAAAGAAAUGCUUGGUUUUUUAAAAAAAAGAUAAAUCAGUCUUCCCUAA